rnacentral:lncRNA from 1 species
AUCUUUAACAAGCACAAGGCCCUGCAUUUGAUCCUAUGGACAUGAAAACCCUGGUCCUACUCUGUAUAAGAAGGCCUUUUUCAGUUUUAAAGCUGCUUGGUUGUUUCAGAGAGGACGGUUACUGAACACCUGCACACUCCAAGACUGCGGCAGAGCUGACAAGCUCCCGCCAGAGCUGAUCCCACUCAUCCCCAGUCAAGUGAGCCGGGCAGCACCAGCCCUUCAACACCGGAUGGCAUGCGGUGCACUGGUUUAAGGUCAGCAUGAAUCAGACCAAGACUCUUCAGCUUCAUCAGGGCUGUGGCCACCUGCUGCAAGAUUGGUCUUAUGUACUUGAGUGGCAGUGGGCUAAACUUGUUCUGCUUUAGAAAAUCGUACAAGUUCUGCUCCAACAUCUCAAACACAAGGCAGGAGGGGUGGUUCUUCAAGAUCUUAAUGGCCACAAUUUCCUUGGUGCUCCGCUUCCAGCACUUUGCCACCUGUCCAAAUGUCCCCCGGCCUAGGAACUCCAGGACUUCAUAGCUGUUGGUCAUAGAGCAAAGGAUCUCAUGCUGGACCAGCUGGUAAUCCCCUUCUCCGCUGGAACUGCUACUCUUGGUGGUCACAGUGGUGGUCGUGGCAGCAGCACCCACCACGGUUCUGUUCUGCAGCAUGAGAGGGGGAUGUUCUUCUAUGAUCUGCACGCUACCGUUGCUGUCCACUUCCUCACUCUUUCUCUUCAAUCCACAUUUUUGAUAUGGCUCAAGCAAAGAAACGUUGCUCCUGUGAGUCAGGGUCUGGCUGCUUU